rnacentral:rRNA from 1 species
UACGAAGGGGGCUAGCGUUGCUCGGAAUUACUGGGCGUAAAGCGCACGUAGGCGGUCUUUUAAGUCGGGGGUGAAAUCCUGGAGCUCAACUCCAGAACUGCCUUCGAUACUGGAAGACUCGAGUCCGGGAGAGGUGAGUGGAACUGCGAGUGUAGAGGUGAAAUUCGUAGAUAUUCGCAAGAACACCAGUGGCGAAGGCGGCUCACUGGCCCGGUACUGACGCUGAGGUGCGAAAGCGUGGGGAGCAAACCGG